UGAAAAAUAAAUAGAGACUUAGAUGGUGAGGGCACAACUGUCUGGAAGGGGAAUUUUUAAGGGAACUUCCUUGGUUAAAAAACUAAAAAGUUGUAAUAAUACAAUUUUUACAAUAAAAGUUAUAAGCUCAAGUAGAAAAAUUCAUCAUCUAUUCUUUUGGAAAACAAUGCAGCAAUUGACUUAAAACAUUUGAAGCAGAAAUAAAUAAUAAAUAAAUCCAGAGACUAAAUUCUAAGUAAUUCUAAAAAUUGUAAUUUUUUGACAAUGGACAAAAGAUUUGAACAGAUACUUUACCAAAGAAUAUUUUAAGAUUUUGAACUGUCAAUAAAAGUGCUAGCAAAACUACACAGCAAUUACAACUCUCAUAUAUUGCUGGUCAGAAUACAAUGUUACAACUAAUUUGGAAGACAAUUAUCAGCUUCACAGGUGGUCCCAUAGGCACUUAAGAUGUCACCAUAACAUUCCAGCAACCCUACUCCCAGGUAUUUAUUUAUCCAAAAGAUAUUAAGACAUCUGUAGAUAAAUGUUUAUAGCAGGUUUAUUCAAAAUUGACAAAAAAAUAAAUCUUGCCGAGUGCAGUGGCUCACGCCUGAAAUCCCAGCAGCUCAGGGGGAAGAGGCAGGAGUAUUUCGAGUUCAAAGCCAGCCUCAGCAAUUUAGCGAGGUGCUAAGCAACUCAGUGAGCCCUGUCUCUAAUAAAAUACUAAAUAGAGCUGGGGAUGUGGCUCAGUGGUCGAGUGCCCCUGAGUUCAAUCCCUGGUACACCCUCCCCCACCCACCAAAAAAAAAAGAAAAAGAAAAGAAAAAGAAAC
rnacentral:lncRNA from 1 species